UACGUAGGUGGCAAGCGUUAUCCGGAAUUAUUGGGCGUAAAGCGCGCGCAGGCGGUUUCUUAAGUCUGAUGUGAAAGCCCACGGCUCAACCGUGGAGGGUCAUUGGAAACUGGGGAACUUGAGUGCAGAAGAGAAAAGCGGAAUUCCACGUGUAGCGGUGAAAUGCGUAGAGAUGUGGAGGAACACCAGUGGCGAAGGCGGCUUCCUGGCCUGUUCUUGACGCUGAGGCGCGAAAGCUAGGGGAGCAAACGGG
rnacentral:rRNA from 1 species